rnacentral:rRNA from 1 species
UUGAACGCUGGCGGAAUGCUUUACACAUGCAAGUCGAGCGGCAGCGCGGGGGCAACCCUGGCGGCGAGCGGCGAACGGGUGAGUAACAUAUCGGAACGUCCCCUAUCGUGGGGGAUACCACAUCGAAAGAUGUGCUAAUCCCGCAUACGACCUGAGGGUGAAAGCAGGGGAUCGCAAGACCUUGCGCGACAGGAGCGGCCGAUCUCGGAUUAGCUAGUUGGUGAGGUAAAGGCUCACCAAGGCGACGAUCCGUAGCUGGUCUGAGAGGACGACCAGCCACACUGGAACGGGGACACGGUCCAGACGCCUACGGGAGGCAGCAGUGGGGAAUUUUGGACAAUGGGGGCAACCCUGAUCCAGCCAGUCCGCGUGAGUGAAGAAGGCCUGCGGGUUGUAAAACUCGUGCGGCAGGAACGAAACGGUGAGCUCUAACAUAGAGGGCUAAUGACGGUACCUGAAGAAGAAGCACCGGCUAACUACGU